rnacentral:lncRNA from 1 species
GCGGCGGCCCGGCGAGCCACCGGGAAGAAGUCAGACAAAGUCACUCUCAGGGCGCUGUGCAGCGCCACAGCCAGGGGAGGUGUAAGUUCGGGCUCAGUGAAGAAUCUCGGCUGACUUACGCUGCCAUCAGGGGAUAUGAAGGCGGUGGUUUCCUGGAAUAACACGGGCCUAUGAUAGGAAUUCGACGCAAGGAAGAUUUAUGGGAGCACCGAUUUGCAAGGCAUUGUGGGAAAAAGGUACACAGGCAGACAACAAAUUACACUUUUGGCAUUUCCAGUUUGGAGCCCUACAGCAAUACUCACUGAAGAAGGUUGCACAUAAUAUGAUGGCAGUAGAGCUGGGACGAACGUAGCCACACUCAAUCCUGUGAAGCCAACACUGAAUGAACCAGGCAGAGUGAACACAUGCAAGUAUUAGAAAGUAUUUAAUGUGUGCAAGGCACACUGCCAGGUGUUUUAGAAGAUUCAGAAGUGACCAGGAGUGUUGCUAGCCAAAGGAAAUGGGACAAAUGUGCAAACAGUAAAGUACCAAAAGAAUAUAGUAAGGGCCAGGGGAGGACAGCUCUAAGAAUUCAGAGGACAAGGAGGACACAUCUGCCUUUUGGAGAAAGGUAGGUGGGAAGAACUCUAGGAGGGACUGGCAUUUUGAUCAAACCUUGAAACACAGGUAGACAUCAACAGGCUGGAACAAGGGAGAAGCCUCCUCUCAAGCAGCACAGUAAAAGCAUGGAUGCCCAGGAAACAGCACGCUGUCUCAACAAAGAGGAACAGAGCACUAAAGCUAAAUAACCCCCAUGAAGGACCAACCCUCUUCCGGAAAAAAGGCUUAAAUUACACAUCAGUUAAAACGACGACAACAUUCUCCUCCACUUGUGCUCUA